rnacentral:rRNA from 1 species
CAGUCGCCGCGGUAAUACGUAGGUGGCGAGCGUUGUCCGGAAUCAUUGGGCGUAAAGGGAGCGCAGGCGGGCAUGUAAGUCUUUCUUAAAAGUUCGGGGCUCAACCCCGUGAUGGGAAAGAAACUACAUGUCUUGAGUACAGGAGAGGAAAGCGGAAUUCCCAGUGUAGCGGUGAAAUGCGUAGAUAUUGGGAGGAACACCAGUGGCGAAGGCGGCUUUCUGGACUGCAACUGACGCUGAGGCGCGAAAGCCAGGGGAGCGAACGGGAUUAGAUACCCGUGUAGUCCCUGUCUCUUAUACC